GACGGUAAGGUAUUGGCUUACCGUGGCAGUGACGGUUAACGGGGAAUUAGGGUUCAAUUCCGGAGAGGGAGCCUGAGAAACGGCUACCACAUCUAAGGAAGGCAGCAGGCGCGCAAAUUACCCAAUUCUAACAGCAUAAGAGAGGUAGUGACAAGAAAUAACAGUACAAGGCAGUUAAAAUGCUUUGUAAUUGGAAUGAUAGAAAUUUAAAUACUUUUUAAAGUAUCAAUUGGAGGGCAAGUCUGGUGCCAGCAGCCGCGGUAAUUCCAGCUCCAAUAGCGUAUAUUAAAAUUGUUGCAGUUAAAAAGCUCGUAGUUGAAUUUUUGCUAAAAAUAACCGGUCUGCUUUUAUUAAUAAAAGUGGUAUCUUGGUGUGUUUUUAGCAAUAAUGUCCUUUGAAAUGUUUUUUACUUUAUUGUAAAAAGCAAUUUUCAGGAUUUUUACUUUGAGAAAAUUAGAGUGUUUCAAGCAGGCUAACGUUUUGAAUACUGCAGCAUGGAAUAAUAAAAUAGGAUUUUAGUUCUACGUUAUUGGUUUUAAGAACUAAAUUAAUGAUUGAUAGGAGCAGUUGGGGGCAUUUGUAUUUAACUGUC
rnacentral:rRNA from 1 species